UGAGCCGAAAUCCUGUCACCUUAGGUCGAUCGGUACCUCAACAUUUUUUUCAAAGAUUGAUGAGCAAUCAUCGAGAGAUUGAAAGAGAUGUUCAGUUCCUAAACUUUGUCUAGGUCACACCCCGCAAGGGAAGAGUCCCCUGGGCCAUUAGCUCAGGUGGUUAGAGCGCACCCCUGAUAAGGGUGAGGUCCCUGGUUCAAGUCCAGGAUGGCCCAUUCGGUGUUGGGGGUUUAGCUCAGUUGGUAGAGCGCCUGCUUUGCAAGCAGGAUGUCAGGAGUUCGAGUCUCCUAACCUCCACUGACCGAACUCAAUCUCCAUUGUCCGGUAACUCGGAGGAUGAACUCGAGUGAGUGUGAUUUAGAUGUGUCCACUAGAUUGGACCCCAGCUUCCUGUCAUUCCAAACAAGUAAAUAUUACUUGAAUGGUUGAUAAGAUGCUGGGCUCAGAUUAAUCGAAAGAUUAAUUUGAUGUCUAGUAGAACCUUGACAACUGCAUAGGUAAGUCUGGAAAAACAAAGCAUCUUACAGAUGCAUUGUUUUAAGCCUGAAUUCUCGAAAGGGAAUUUAGAAUUAGAACAAUGAAAAUUCUUUUGAGCAAGAGCCGAGACUCUUAAAUGUUCUUUGA
rnacentral:tRNA from 1 species